rnacentral:rRNA from 1 species
UACGAAGGGGGCUAGCGUUGUUCGGAAUUACUGGGCGUAAAGCGUGCGCAGGCGGCUUCUCAAGUCAGGGGUGAAAGCCCAGAGCUCAACUCUGGAAUUGCCUUUGAGACUGAGUGGCUUGAGUACGAGAGAGGUGAGUGGAAUUCCCAGUGUAGAGGUGAAAUUCGUAGAUAUUGGGAAGAACACCAGUGGCGAAGGCGACUCGCUGGACAAGUAUUGACGCUGAGGUGCGAAAGCGUGGGGAGCAAACAGG